rnacentral:rRNA from 1 species
UGAGCAAUCUGCCCUUCUCAUCGAAAUAAGCGUUGGAAACGACGUCUAAUGCCGAAUACGACCUCCUUUCACAUGAUCGGAGGUGGAAAGCUCCGGCGGAGAAGGAUGAGCUCGCGGCCUAUCAGCUAGUUGGUGUGGGUAAUGGCCCACCAAGGCGACGACGGGUAGCCGGCCUGAGAGGGUGACCGGCCACACUGGGACUGAGACACGGCCCAGACUCCUACGGGAGCAG